rnacentral:rRNA from 1 species
UACGUAGGGCGCAAGCGUUGUCCGGAAUUAUUGGGCGUAAAGAGCUCGUAGGCGGUCUGUCGCGUCGGAUGUGAAAGCCCGGGGCUUAACCCCGGGUCUGCAUUCGAUACGGGCAGACUAGAGUGUGGUAGGGGAGAUCGGAAUUCCUGGUGUAGCGGUGAAAUGCGCAGAUAUCAGGAGGAACACCGGUGGCGAAGGCGGAUCUCUGGGCCAUUACUGACGCUGAGACGCGAAAGCGUGGGGAGCAAACAGG